UGGGGAAUAUUGGGCAAUGGGCGAAAGCCUGACCCAGCAACGCCGCGUGAAGGAAGAAGGUUUUCGGAUUGUAAACUUCUUUUAUCAGGGACGAAGAAAGUGACGGUACCUGAUGAAUAAGCCACGGCUAACUACGUGCCAGCAGCCGCGGUAAUACGUAGGUGGCAAGCGUUAUCCGGAUUUAUUGGGUUUAAAGGGUGCGCAGGCGGCGGAUCAAGUCAGCGGUCAAACUUCGGGGCUCAACCCCGUUUUGCCGUUGAAACUGAUCGGCUGGAGUCUGUUCGAGGGACGCGGAAUGCGAGGUGUAGCGGUGAAAUGCAUAGAUAUCACGCAGAACUCCGAUUGCGAAGGCAGCGUCCCGGGGCGCACUGACGCUGAGGCACGAAAGUGUGGGUAUCGAACAGGAUUAGAUACCCUGGUAGU
rnacentral:rRNA from 1 species